GUACGAUCGCAAGGUUGAAACUCAAAGGAAUUGACGGGGGCCCGCACAAGCGGUGGAGUAUGUGGUUUAAUUCGAAGCAACGCGAAGAACCUUACCAGGGCUUGACAUCCUGCUAACGAACCAGAGAUGGAUUAGGUGCCCUUCGGGGAAAGCAGAGACAGGUGGUGCAUGGUUGUCGUCAGCUCGUGUCGUGAGAUGUUGGGUUAAGUCCCGCAACGAGCGCAACCCUUAUUGUUAGUUGCUACGCAAGAGCACUCUAGCGAGACUGCCGUUGACAAAACGGAGGAAGGUGGGGACGACGUCAAAUCAUCAUGCCCCUUACGUCCUGGGCCACACACGUACUACAAUGGCGGUCAACAAAGAGAGGCAAGACCGCGAGGUGGAGCAAAUCUCAAAAAGCCGUCCCAGUUCGGAUCGCAGGCUGCAACCCGCCUGCGUGAAGUUGGAAUCGCUAGUAAUCGCGGAUCAGCAUGCCGCGGUGAAUACGUUCCCGGGCCUUGUACACACCGCCCGUCACACCAUGAGAGUCGGGAACACCCGAAGUCCGUAGCCUAACCGCAAGGGGGGCGCGGCCGAAGGUGGGUUCGAUAAUUGGGGUGAAGUCGUAACAAGGUAGCCGU
rnacentral:rRNA from 1 species